UUUUGUUACUUUAAAAGUAUUGACUUUAAAGUUGUACUUUUUACUUUGACUCAGGUAUGCUUUUGGCUAAAUACUUGGACUAUAAAUUGAAUGAAAUUUUUACUCAGUAGGCUAUCCAUACUGUCAGGAUUGCUACUGUGAGGAACGUGGAGACGAAGGAGAUUCAGGAUAACAGUCUUUAAUAAACAUCCAGGGGGAUACACGUAGCACCACUAGAUGUUUAACACUGGACAAAGGAACCACAGAAUAGACAACACUUUAAAUACUAAACUAAAGGAGGGUAAUAGAAGAGACACACCUGAAUCAAAUGAACACAAUCAAACAAGGGACAAACUGGGUCACGGGGAGCACAUGCGGAGAGAAACACAACAAAACAGGAACAUAAAAAGAUCUGACCUUCUAGCAGAAAGGAGGGAGGAGGUGAACAGAAUUCUGUCGGGGGCAGACACAAAAACAGCAUUGAGCAGGGGACCGAGAGAGACAGACGUAAGCACACAUAAGCAGCAGAGAUUGUGAAGGGCAGCAGAAAUGAAGACUAAACUAGAACAAACUUGGAAGAGGAACAAGAAAUGUGUCUAACUGUCUUAACUCUCGCUUCACAGCGCCUCGAGCUUUCUUCAGAGAAACUCUUCUGCCGUAUGCCAUUUGGAAACCAAAAUGAAUAGACAAUCACACUAAACAGAAAUGAGAUAGAAAGAGAGAGUGUAAGUGCAUGCGCUUGCAUCAGAUCAUUGGGUUUCUGGCAGGCCUUGAUGCUGUUCAAGGUGAGAGAUAAGGAUGGCAGCAGACGUAUCUGCCCGGCGACCUUGAUAUCCCAUCUGGCCAAAGCAAGCAAACCAAGCCAGAAGUUGAGUGCUGCUGAGUUAUAUUAUGCAUGGGGUGCUUUAUAAAAACCUCCAAAGGGUUACAGCAUCCAGCUAUUGAUCAGCUUUUAAACCAAGAUAAAGUCUUCACUGUUGCUGCAUCUCUUUGGUAGAUGUUUUUUUUCUUCCAUGCUCUCCUUCUGAAAGUGUUCUGCUCUCUUUAUCAUCUGAUCAUACAUCAGUAUUGUUGCUGAAUGUUUUGGCAGUUAAUGUUGGAUAAUAAUAAUAAUAAAAAAAUAAUGAUAAUAAAAAAGUGAUGAUUUUGAUCAAAGUGACUUAGAAUUUAAUAAAAACAAACAAUUUCAAGGAACACUUCACCCCAAAAUAAACUCCCUCUCAUGUCAUUUAACACUAUUUUUCAUAUUUCUUUCCUUGGAAAACAAAUUUUUUUAAACUCUAAAAGUAUGUUUUCCAUUAAUUAUGCAAACUUUACUUUAGAAGGCUUGGAAUAUAUAUCACUCUAAGAAAAGUCCAUAAGUCAAUACCUGAUUCACUAAGCAGUUAAAUAUUCAAUGUGUUGAGGUCACAUAACACCAAAGUAGAUGCGUAUUGCAUAGUUCAUAUUGUUUCAUAUUGACAAAAGGAGUCAACAGUAAACUUUAUAUUAUGUAUGCUAGGAUGGAUCCAGACAAGGACGAUGUCUUAAAACACAUUUGGUGGAUACACUUGAGAAAUCUUCAGUCCAGGCUCUGUAUCUUUGUCUUGUGUAUAAGCCAAUCAGUCUAAUCUACUUUCUGAUAUUGGGCCAGCACUUGUCUGCAGUUCCCAUUUCAUUUAAACCAUACAGGGGUUGGGUGGCCUCCAAGAUGCAGAGACAUUUGCGUUCAUUCCUAGACGAGAGAGAGAGAGAGAGAGAGAGAGAGAGAGAGUGUGUGAGAGAGAGAGAGAGAGAGAGAGAGAGAGAGAGAGAGAGAGAGAGAGAGAGAGAGUGAGAGUGAGAGAGAGAGAGAGAGAGUGAGAGAGGGAGAGUGAGAGAGGGAGAGAGGGAGAGAGAGUGAGA
ensembl:lncRNA